ACAGCAACGGGAGGAGCGUGCGGUUCAAUUGGAUCAACGCCGUAAACUCACCGGGAGCGACGACUACAUGAAGGUCAGGCCGACGACUUUACCUGAUUUUCGAGAGGUGGUGCAUGGCCGUCGUCAGUUCGUACUGUGAAGCAUCCUGUUAAGUCAGGCAACGAGCGAGACCCACGCCCACAGUUGCCAGCGUACUCUCUGGAGUGACGGGUACACUGUGGGACCGCCGCUGCUAAAGCGGAGGAAGGAAUGGGCAACGGUAGGUCAGUAUGCCCCGAAUAUCCCGGGCUACACGCGAGCUACAAUGGUUGGUACAAUGGGUAUCUACCCCGAAAGGGGACGGGAAUCUCCUAAAACCAAUCUUAGUUCGGAUUGAGGGCUGCAACUCGCCCUCAUGAAGCUGGAAUCCGUAGUAAUCGCGUUUCAACAGAACGCGGUGAAUACGUCCCUGCUCCUU
rnacentral:rRNA from 1 species